CAAGGGCAGGGGAAGAUAUAGAGUUGGAAGAUAUCAAUAACAUUGUAGCAGGAGGGUAGAAAAUAGAGUACUGAUUGCCCUCCCCACAAAAUUGCCUCCUAACUCAAAUAACCUUAACUGCAAACCCCUCUGGGUUGAACGUGCUUUUUGCUGAAUGCCAGGUCAGUGAAAGCAUUUCUUCAUGGAAGGUCAAGGAACUGUACAUGGCUCUCCGCUUCACUUUAUUCGCCCUACAAGGAGGUUAGGCUGAGAAGAUUAAGUAAGAGGUCCUUUUCUCCCUCCCACUGUUUUGCUUGAACAGAUCAAACUUGUGCCAGCUCACCUGGGGAGCAGCACCCAGCCAUGGUCCAGUGGUCAACAGCCCAGGCCAAGGCAAACCAACCUGAAUCUGCUCUGCUGGAACAUGGAUAAUGUGGGAAGGUCUGUCGCCAUGGUGAUGAAC